CAAUCUUAAAAAUGCAAGGAUUUAAACACCGCUUUUGGGUGAAGCGGCAGCUUGUUGUGUUGUUUUGCUUCAAUCGGUGGUGUGACAGGU
ensembl:snoRNA